rnacentral:rRNA from 1 species
AUUGAACGCUGGCGGCAGGCCUAACACAUGCAAGUCGAACGAGUGGCGGACGUGUGAGUAAUGGAUGGGAAACUGCCCGAUGGAGGGGGAAAACAACAGGAAACGGUAGCUAAUACCGCCUACCAUCGGAUGUGCCCAGGGGGGAUUAGCUAGUAGUUGGGGUAACGGCUCACCAAGACGACUAUCCCUAGCUGGUCUGAGAGGAUGACAAGCCACACUUGAACUGAGACACGGUCCAGACUCCUACGUGAGGCAGCAGUGGGGAAUAUUGCACAAUGGGCGCAAGCCUGAUGCAGCCAUGCCGCGUGUGUGAAGAAGGCCUUCGGGUUGUAAAGUACUUUCAGCGAGGAGGCGUUACUCGCAGAAGAAGCACCGGCUAACUCCGUGCCAGCAGCCGCGGUAAUAC